AUUGAACGCUGGCGGCAGGCUUAACACAUGCAAGUCGAGCGGGGUGAUGGUGCUUGCACUAUCACUUAGCGGCGGACGGGUGAGUAAUGCUUAGGAAUCUGCCUAUUAGUGGGGGACAACAUCUCGAAAGGGAUGCUAAUACCGCAUACGUCCUACGGGAGAAAGCAGGGGGUCCCUUGUGACCUUGCGCUAAUAGAAGAGCAUAAGUCGGAUUAGCUAGUUGGUGGGGUAAAGGCCUACCAAGGCGACGAUCUGUAGCGGGUCUGAGAGGAGGAUCCGCCACACUGGGACUGAGACACGGCCCAGACUCCUACGGGAGGCAGCAGUGGGGAAUAUUGGACAAUGGGGGAACCCUGAUCCAGCCAUGCCGCGUGUGUGAAGAAGGCCUUAUGGUUGUAAAGCACUUUAAGCGAGGAGGAGGCUCUUUUGGUUAAUACCCAAGAUGAGUGGACGUUACUCGCAGAAUAAGCACCGGCUAACUCUGUGCCAGCCGCCGCGGUAA
rnacentral:rRNA from 1 species